GCUAUGGUUAGUGGUAUCAGAAACCAAGAAUUCAGAGUGAUCCUAUCAUAACACCCAACUAUCCAAAAGGAACUUAUAACGUGCUAUGGAAAACAUUCAGAAUUUCUCAUAUGAAGACUUCUCUAUAGAGAUGAUAAUAUAAACUGAGAAGUCAUUGGUUCACUGCUCAAAGAAGGCUGCCCGGUGAAUGUCUGGCUUAGAGAAUUACUGAAUUCAGAAUACAACCCUGAUUUGAAGCAAACAUAUGUUAAGCACCUACAGGAUGCUGCAAAGCUAUGUUGUUUGUAUCUAAGAUUUAAGCAGGUCUUUGUUGUAUGAUCUCUAGGAGACACCUGCAAAUGUUGGACAUGGCAUGCUUUUUCAAAGAAAGAGUGCUGUUUUCAAUUUGAAUUUCUCUUGAGAAGCUUGUGUUACGUAAGGCACUCUACUUACUCCAAGAACACUGAAUUCUUUACAUUUCACCACGUUCUGAGGUGAAAUCAAACGGCAAAAUCCUUUCGGACCACCAAAGUGAGAUUAUACAAUACUUCAGCAUCCUCAAUUGCCAGUUCAGCCACGGCUGCGACAUGAAGGCUCAACAACCAAAUGUGAACUGACAGGGUGAUAUUUCCAAUGCAAUUAACUGCCUUCCAGACUAUCCUGCUACCUUAAUGUUAAUUACAUGUUUGUGAAAUAAUAUACUCCUACUUAAGGGCUGUCUUUCA